UACGAAGGGGGCUAGCGUUGCUCGGAAUCACUGGGCGUAAAGCGCACGUAGACGGGUCUUUAAGUCAGGGGUGAAAUCCUGGAGCUCAACUCCAGAACUGCCUUUGAUACUGGGAGACUUGGAGUCCAGGAGAGGUGAGUGGAACUGCGAGUGUAGAGGUGAAAUUCGUAGAUAUUCGCAAGAACACCAGUGGCGAAGGCGGCUCACUGGCCCGGUACUGACGCUGAGGUGCGAAAGCGUGGGGAGCAAACAGG
rnacentral:rRNA from 1 species